UACAGAGGGUGCGAGCGUUAAUCGGAAUUACUGGGCGUAAAGCGCACGUAGGUGGCUUGGCAAGUCGGGUGUGAAAUCCCCGGGCUCAACCUGGGAACUGCAUUCGAGACUGCCUUGCUAGAGUAUGGGAGAGGGAAGUGGAAUUUCCGGUGUAGCGGUGAAAUGCGUAGAUAUUGGGAGGAACACCAGUGGCGAAGGCGGCUACCUGGACCGGUUCUGACGCUGAGGCGCGAAAGCGUGGGUAGCAAACAGG
rnacentral:rRNA from 1 species